rnacentral:rRNA from 1 species
AGUGAACGCUGGCGGUAGGCCUAACACAUGCGAGUCGAACGGCAGCACAGUAAGAGCUUGCUCUUACGGGUGGCGAGUGGCGGACGGGUGAGGAAUACAUCGGAAUCUACUUUUUCGUGGGGGAUAACGUAGGGAAACUUACGCUAAUACCGCAUACGACCUACGGGUGAAAGCAGGGGAUCUUCGGACCUUGCGCGAUUGAAUGAGCCGAUGUCGGAUUAGCUAGUUGGCGGGGUAAAGGCCCACCAAGGCGACGAUCCGUAGCUGGUCUGAGAGGAUGAUCAGCCACACUGGAACUGAGACACGGUCCAGACUCCGACGGGAGGCAGCAGUGGGGAAUAUUGGACAAUGGGCGCAAGCCUGAUCCAGCCAUACCGCGUGGGUGAAGAAGGCCUUCGGGUUGUAAAGCCCUUUUGUUGGGAAAGAAAAGCAGCAGGUUAAUACCCCGCUGUUCGGACGGUACCCAAAGAAUAAGCACCGGCUAACUUCGU